GGAACCCUGCGCUGCGCCUAUGGAAUGUAGGAGCCCCGACGGGGCGGGUGGCACGUGCCUUGCAGGGCGCCGGGGUCUCUUGGUGGCGCGGUUGCGGCCCACCGGGACAUUGGUCAGGGGCCCCCUGGUGCCUGAGCCCAGAGCAGCUCAGAGCUGGCUGCCUCUGCCCGACCCCGCGGCCCUGGUGUGGUCGGCGACCUCAGCCCAUGGUUCACCCCCGGGUUGGAUGCCACAAUUUCCGCGUCCGGCCACACUGGGCGUCAGAGGAGGGGUGCACGCGGAGAAAACCCUGCACAGAUCCCGAUGCUCCCUUCGGAUUCUAGGAGAUCAAGGAGAUCUGGGUUUGGAGAGUGGCAGAAGUCCGAAGACAGGAAAAUUAUUGCUCCCCAAACCCUAAGAAGCCAUCCCGGAGGCUUUCUGGGCUGCCUGGGGUCCCUGUGGCUGAGAGGGACUGUGCACCUGCUGCUCUGUGCUGACAACCUCAGGCUCCUCUGCUGGGAUUGUAUCACUUGCAGCCCAAGCAGCCAGGGGAUACUGACUGCUAAAAGGCGACAGGAGUCUGAGAAAUCCAGGCCCCCGGGAGCCUCUUCCUUUUGCCGGCUGCUUUGGGAGUACAGUGCUCCCAGGGUGUCGCACGCCUCACGGGUCUGCAGGGAAACACCCUCUCUGCAUUUUUCUCUUGACUCUAGGUCUGCUCCCACCCCUUAUUACCUGUGCCCUUCCUCCUCACAGAUAUAAACAGUUCUCUUGCCUCCCCACCCAUGCUGGCUGACUUUCCUAAGGC
rnacentral:lncRNA from 1 species